rnacentral:rRNA from 1 species
GGUGAGUAACGCGUGGGUAACCUGCCUCAUACAGGGGAAUAGCAGCUGGAAACGGCUGAUAAAACCGCAUAAGCGCACAGUGCCGUAUGGCACAGUGUGAAAAACUCCGGUGGUAUGAGAUGGACCCGCGUCUGAUUAGCUGGUUGGCGGGGUAACGGCCCACCAAGGCGACGAUCAGUAGCCGGCCUGAGAGGGUGAUCGGCCACAUUGGGACUGAGACACGGCCCAAACUCCUACGGGAGGCAGCAGUGGGGAAUAUUGCACAAUGGGGGAAGCCCUGAUGCAGCGACGCCGCGUGAAGGAAGAAGUAUCUCGGUAUGUAAACUUCUAUCAGCAGGGAAGAUAAUGACGGUACCUGACUAAGAAGCCCCGGCUAAUACGUGCCAGCAGCCGCGGUAAUACGUAGGGGGCAAGCGUUAUCCGGAUUUACUGGGUGUAAAGGGAGCGUAGGCGCGGAGCAAGUCAGAAGUGAAAGCCCGGGGCUCAACCCCGGGAC